GACGAACCGAGCAAACGUUAUUCGGAAUCACUGGGCUUAAAGGGCGCGUAGGCGGGUCGCCAAGUCGGUGGUGAAAUCCUCCAGCUCAACUGGAGAACUGCCGCGGAUACUGGCGACCUAGAGGAAGGUAGGGGCAUCUGGAACUGGUGGUGGAGCGGUGAAAUGCGUUGAUAUCAUCAGGAACUCCGGUGGCGAAGGCGAGAUGCUGGCCCUUUACUGACGCUGAGGCGCGAAAGCCAGGGGAGCAAACGGG
rnacentral:rRNA from 1 species